CAUGGGCUUUUAACGUGCUGCACAUGGGCUGGUUCUCAUUGGUUCUUAGCAUGUGCGAUUGAUGCGGAUUCACGCAUGGAGGGAACAAAUGCGGCAAAGAUAAAGAUGCAUACGGUUUGAUGCGGUGAAAGCCUGGAAUACGGAAACAGAUUAACGGCUAGGAUGUUGGAUAUUAAAAUUUUAAAAAAAAAUCUAAUCAUCUAUUUU
rnacentral:lncRNA from 1 species